GAUGAACGCUGGCGGCGUGCCUAAUACAUGCAAGUCGAGCGAACAGACGAGGAGCUUGCUCCUCUGACGUUAGCGGCGGACGGGUGAGUAACACGUGGAUAACCUACCUAUAAGACUGGGAUAACUUCGGGAAACCGGAGAUAAUACCGGAUAAUAUAUUGAACCGCAGGGGGCAAUAGUGAAAGACGGCUUUGCGGUCACUAAUAGAUGGAUCCGCGCCGCAUUAGCUAGUUGGUAAGGUAACGGCUUACCAAGGCGACGAGGCGUAGCCGACCUGUGAGGCUGAUCGGCCACACUGGAACUGGGACACGGUCCAUGGUCCUACGGUAGGCAGCAGUCGGGUAUCUUCCGCAAUGGGCGAAAGCCUUACGGAGCAACGCCGCGUGAGUUAUGAAGGUCUUCGGAUCGUAAAACUCUGUUAUUAGUGAAGAACCAAUGUGUAAUUAACUAUGCACGUCUUGACGGUACCUAAUCAGAAAGCCCCGGCUAACUACGUG
rnacentral:rRNA from 1 species